rnacentral:rRNA from 1 species
AGCGAACGCUGGCGGCAGGCCUAACACAUGCAAGUCGAACGGAUCCUUCGGGAUUAGUGGCGGACGGGUAAGUAACACGUGGGCACGUGCCCUUUGGUUCGGAACAACUCAGGGAAACUUGAGCUAAUACCGGAUGUGCCCUUCGGGGGAAAGAUUUAUCGCCAUUGGAGCGGCCCGCGUCUGAUUAGCUAGUUGGUGAGGUAAAGGCUCACCAAGGCGACGAUCAGUAGCUGGUCUGAGAGGAUGAUCAGCCACAUUGGGACUGAGACACGGCCCAAACUCCUACGGGAGGCAGCAGUGGGGAAUCUUGCGCAAUGGGCGAAAGCCUGACGCAGCCAUGCCGCGUGAAUGAUGAAGGUCUUAGGAUUGUAAAAUUCUUUCACCGGGGACGAUAAUGACGGUACCCGGAGAAGAAGCCCCGGCUAACUUCGUGCCAGCCGCCGCCGUAAGAC